rnacentral:tRNA from 1 species
GAGCUCAUAGUUUAGGUGGUUAAAACAUACCGCUCAUAACGGUAUCAUCGUAGGUUCAAGUCCUACUGAGCUUA